rnacentral:lncRNA from 1 species
UGGACUUGACGGGUGUUGUCGAAUCCGAUGAUCCUAAUGAAGGCAUUGGGGUACUCCUUCUUGCACUCUUCCACUUCCUUCAACACUUGAGCGGAGUCGGUGCAACCGAACAAGGGAAGCUUCCACAUUGUCCAGUACCGUCCAUCAUAGUAUCCGGGUGAGUUACCGUGCUCACGGUACACAAAUCCGUGCUAUACAAACCACAUGUUACAAACCACUCAGAUAACAUUUUGAACAUGUUUAUAUAAAUCAAGAUCCUAAUAUAUUAAACCAAAUUUUCCUAAGAUCUAGCUAGUUUAUAUAGAUGUUUAAAUUUUGUUUAAUUACCUCCAACUCGAAUUCAACACAAGGAAUCCACUUGUUGCGGAUAAGGUAGUCAACUUCCUUAGCCAAUUCGGAAUCGGUAAGGUCAGGAAGGUAAGAGAGAGUCUCAAACUUCUUCUUUCCAAUCGGAGGCCACACCUAUUUUUUCGAUUUUUCCAAUGAUAUUAGUUUAUGUAGAUUCGAAGAAAGAACCGAAAAAAAUCAUAUGGAAUAAUAAAAAAGUGAAAGAAGAAAUAUAAAUGACCUGCAUGCAGUUAACUCUUCCGCCGUUGCUUGUGAUGGAAGUAAUGUCGUUGUUAGCCUUGCGGGUGGCUGGGAAGGCAGCGGAGGACUUAAGUCCGUUGAAAGGAGCGACCAUAGUGGCCUGAGCCGGAGAGGCAACCAUAGUAGCGGAAGAGAGCAUAGAGGAAGCCAUUGUUCUUCUUUACUCUUUGUGUGACUGAGGUUUGGUCUAGUGCUUUGGUCAUCUAUAUAUAAUGAUAACAACAAUGAGAACAAGCUUUGGAGUGAUCGGAGGGUCUAGGAUACAUGAGAUUCAAGUGGACUAGGAUCUACACCGUUGGAUUUUGAGUGUGGAUAUGUGUGAGGUUAAUUUUACUUGGUAACGGCCACAAAGGCCUAAGGAGAGGUGUUGAGACCCUUAUCGGCUUGAACCGCUGGAAUAAUGCCACGUGGAAGAUAAUUCCAUGAAUCUUAUCGUUAUCUAUGAGUGAAAUUGUGUGAUGGUGGAGUGGUGCUUGCUCAUUUUACUUGCCUGGUGGACUUGGCCCUUUCCUUAUGGGGAAUUUAUAUUUUACUUACUAUAGAGCUUUCAUACCUUUUUUUUACCUUGGAUUUAGUUAAUAUAUAAUGGUAUGAUUCAUGAAUAAAAAUGGGAAAUUUUUGAAUUUGUACUGCUAAAUGCAUAAGAUUAGGUGAAACUGUGGAAUAUAUAUUUUUUUCAUUUAAAAGCAAAAUUUGCCUUUUACUAGAAUUAUAAAUAUAGAAAAAUAUAUAACAUUCAAAUAAAAAUGAAAAUAAGAACUUUCAAAAAACAGAACUAUGUUUAAUGUGUAAAGAUUAGUCGCACAUCAAGUCAUCUGUUACAAUAUGUUACAACAAGUCAUAAGCCCAACAAAGUUAGCACGUCUAAAUAAACUAAAGAGUCCACGAAAAUAUUACAAAUCAUAAGCCCAACAAAGUUAUUGAUCAAAAAAAAAAAACGCCCAACAAAGCUAAACAAAGUCCAAAAAAAACUUCUCAAGUCUCCAUCUUCCUUUAUGAACAUUGAAAACUAUACACAAAACAAGUCAGAUAAAUCUCUUUCUGGGCCUGUCUUCCCAACCUCCUACAUCACUUCCCUAUCGGAUUGAAUGUUUUACUUGUACCUUUUCCGUUGCAAUGAUAUUGAUAGUAUGUUUGUGAAAACUAAUAGGGUUAACAAUCGAAGUCAUGGAAUAUGGAUUUGGUCCAAGAUUUUCCGAGAGCUUUCUAGUAGAAAGCCCAUCACCAGAAAUUUACUAGUAAAAUAAAUCACCAAUUAGGUUUCUUAUUAUGUGCCAAAUUCAAUAUAAUUAUAGAGGAUAUUUCAAAUGAAAACGUAUGAAUGUUAUUAGUAAAUGGUCAGGUAAGACAUUAAAAAAAUCCUACGUCAGAUAUUCAACUUUAAAAAUUCGAUCAGUGUGGAAUUGUACAAAAAUUUGGGAUCUACUAUAUAUAUAUAAUGCUUUACAACACUUGGAUUUUUUUUUGGAGGCUGGAAUUUUUAAUCUACAUAUUUGUUUUGGCCAUGCACCAACUCAUUGUUUAGUGUAAUACUUUGAUUUUGUCAAAUAUAUGUGUUCGUGUAUAUUUGUAUAAGAAUUUCUUUGACCAUAUACACACACACAUAUAUAUAUAUAUAUAUAUAUUAUAUAUCAUGCACUUUUAAUUGAAAAAAUAAUAUAUAUAUAUAUAGUGCAUUUUUUCUAACAACCAUAUAUGUUGCGAUUGAUCUGCAAAAAUACUGCUAGAGUAAUGAAAAAUAUAAUCUAUUGCUGAAAUUAUCUCAGAUGUUAAGAUUUUCUUAAAGUAAAUUCUUUCAAAUUUUAGCUAAAAGUCUUGUAAUAACUAAAGAAUAAUACACAAUCUCGACCACGGAAAAAAAACACAUAAUAAAUUUGAAUUCUGACAGUGAACUCUACUUUUGAAUUCUAAUUAUAGAGUGAAGAAUCUUGAUAGAUGAAAGCCAUAAACAUGUUUGUCGAAACUAGAAAGUACCCACAUAUCAUAAUAAGAUGUUUCUAAUUCCACUUUGAGACUCAGUCAAACAGUUAAUAUCUUGGACAAUAAGAAUUUGUUGACCAAUAAUCCUAUAUUACAAGAAGCCUUCUAUUAUUUUAAUCAAAACAUUGAAGCUCAAGCUCCUCGUAAGGUAAAGAGCCCACAAAAUUCCGAAAACCAUGGAAAACGCGAGUCCCUGGGUUUGCAUUAUAUUUUCUAUAUUUGUUUUUCUUUUCUCCUAAAAUUAUGGAAGUGAUUGGAAGAUACAAGAGGUUUUGUCCAAACAAUUUAAACUCGACGACUAAAAACGUAGGAUGACGCGAUACACACGCGCGGCCAUAUGCAUGCAAACCCCUAUAUUUCUUUUUAAAGUUUUUGGCUCUUUCCACAUUUUUAAAAAUAAAAAUAUUUUUGGACAUUUUUGCAUGGCAUCUUCACCUAUCUCUCCUCCAUUUGUCUUUCUUUUUUCAGUUCAGUGUAUCAUCAACAAGAGUUCACAAACUUUUAUUUUUUACACAUUCAUGGCUUGUUUCUAGUUCUAGAUUUGGAUUUUUCUAGCUUCACUUUUGAUAGAAUUCGGGGGAAAUAGAAAUUGUUAAACCAAAAGGAAGAGUUAACGUUCGAUUCUGUAUCAGAUAAAUCUCUAUAAAGGAUUAUAUCAUUGUAUUAUUCCAGCUAGCACAUAUCCAUUUUCGUAUUUGUCAAUUAAGAGAAUUUGUAUUUAUUUGUUUAUUAUAAGACGACAAUAAGAAAGACGACAAAAAAUUUUAUUCGUAUGCUUAUAUUUUGUAUGCAUCUAUUUUUCUACCUCUUACCUAUGCAUUUUUAUUUUAAUGAAUUAUCAUAUCUGUUUGUCAAUCACUUCUAUAGCAAUAUGAUAAUUUGGUUGAAACUGUAUUUAUCCAUACGUCUAUCUAAACAUGUAUAUAUACCAUUUGAAUUUUUCAAAAACAUAAUAUAUAUACAUAUAGGAAUUAGGUUAUUGACUUAUUGUUUAUCUUACAAUAUGUUAAGUUAUUUGAUAUAGAAAAUUAUUGUACAACUUUAUACAGGUCUUCUAAAUUACCUGAAACGACAACAAAUUUAUUUCAUACUAGUAUAUAUCAUAUAGCAUAUAUAGCUUUCACAUUCGUCUGUAACUGGUCUUUCAGAAAAAUUGACUCUAUAGAGUCUACUAGCUAUAGUUAUGAUUGUUCGCAUGAUUAUAUUAUUAGUUAAAGUGGAGACAAUCGUAUUAAUCGUGUGAUAGCCGGCAGAAGAAAAAAUAAAUCGUUUUAUCCGUUAAAAUUAUAUAUAUUUUGUUUUACUGUAUUUUUCUAGUUUUUAACUAAGUUUUAUCUUUAUAUAAAUAAUUAUAAAUGUUUAUAUAAUGUUUGAUAUACUUAAAUAAAUAUUUUAUCUAAACUUUGUUUGCGAUUUGACAUUUUUAACAUUUUUGAUAGAUAUUUAUAUAUUUUCUAUAAUUUUAAUUUUUAACUGUUUCUAAACCUUAAUAAUAAUUAAUAGAUUGUGUGUGCGUUUUUUUCUUUAUUUUAUUAAAGAAGUAAUAGAAAUAAUUCAAACAUCACCAUUCAAUGAUGGGUGUUUCAAUGGAAGAAACUACCAAAUCUAACCAAUAAACGUUGGCAUCUAUUCACCUAAAAGUAAAAAUUGUAGAGCCUAUAUUAGUCAAAGUGAUCCAUGCAGAUAAUUUAUUAGUAGGUCUUUCGAUAUUAAUGUUGAUAUAUACUAGAGCCUAUAGAAGUCAAAGUGAUUCCAUUAAGAUAAUUUAUUAAGUAGGUAUUUGGAUAUUAAUAUUAAUUAUCAGAAUUAUGUAUGGAGCUACAUAAUGUGUAACCGCUCAGAAAACGCGGCGAUUCGACCAAACUCUGUUACCACAAUGUCUCCGCCACGCGAUCACACUUUUGCGCUUGCAUGCGAACGUUGAAAUUCGAACCUCUCAUCUCUCUAUUUACCAUUUUACCCUCUAGUAAUUUCGUUUUCAAAAUUUACUAUCUCCAAAUAUUUUGGCAGUCCAUUAUUAAUUGCCGAACAUUAAACUGCGGUCUAGACAAAAACAAACGGCGGUCAGAUAUAAACAACUAACCAAAAAAAUAAAAUACUUGACUGGUUUUGGACAUUUUCGUCGAUGAUGAUCACGCGCUACGAAUGAGAGCCAAAGACAAAGCUCAACGGGCUUCCAUAUAUAUUUCAUAUUUAUUAGUAACUAUUUUCCCCAAAAAAAAAAAUAUAUAUUAUUAGUAACUACAAACAAACAAACAAAAUGUAUAAACCAUGAAAAUUAAAGAUUUUAAAAUUUUAUAACUAUACAAAUAGUAUGAGAAGCUUUGUUUAUUUUUAUAAACACAUAAUAACAGUUUGAAAAAAUUACUUACCUAAAUAAAGGUAAUAUUCUCGUAAUUUACUAAAAUAAUUCAUACAAAAUAUAAAAACAAUUACAAAACUCUUCUUUUUUGGGCUCUUUACAUCUUAUUUAUACUUUGAAAAUUACGAUAUCCAUUUAGAGAAAAAUAUAACAUGCACGUCACAAAUUUAUUUAUUUUUUGAAAAAAAUUACACACAAAGAAAACGACAACUUCGUUCCUUGUUAAUUGUUAUGAUCUCUCCGACCAAACCCAAGCAGCUUCUCCCUCUUAAAUACCUCUUCCUUCUUCUAAGAUCUCUGGACCAUUCUGUACUUUCCCUCAAACCCAAAACACAUUUUGUUUUUUGUUUCCCAUCUAAAAUGCGUAUGAGUUGUAACGGAUGUCGAGUUCUACGAAAAGGCUGCAGUGAAAACUGUAGCAUAAGACCUUGUCUUCAAUGGAUCAAAUCCGCUGAAUCUCAAGCCAACGCCACCGUCUUCCUCGCCAAGUUUUAUGGCCGUGCGGGGCUCAUGAACCUCCUCAACACCGGUCCUGACCACCUCCGUCCUGGUAUUCAAACUUCCCAUGCAUGUUAUGUUUUUUGUUUGUUAUGGUUAAUUGCGAAGUUCUGGACGGAAUCUCUCAUACAUCUUUUUAGGAAACGUAGGAUCCUGUUUAUUUUUCUAACAUGCAUCUAAUAAUUUGGUAAUUUUGUUUGUUUUUGCAGCGAUAUUUAGAUCAUUGUUGUACGAAGCAUGCGGGAGGAUUGUGAAUCCGAUAUACGGAUCCGUGGGGUUAUUGUGGUCAGGAAACUGGCAUCUUUGUCAAGCGGCCGUUGAGGCAGUAAUGAGAGGCUCACCCGUGACUCCGAUCGCAUGCGACGCAGCGGUUACUGGUCAAGCACCUCCUUUUAACAACAAGCUUUGCGACAUAAGACACGUGUCAAGCAGGGACGAGAACGUUAAGAGACGGAGCCGUGGUGCAUGCAAGGAAGAGAGAAACGUGAGGUCUUUGAGUCAUGAGUCGUCACUGAGUCACGAGUCACCGGUGUCUUCUGAGGAGACGACGACGGAGGAACCAAAGACUUGGAUCGGGCUUGAGCUGACUUUGGGGUUGGAGCCUUUAGCACGUGGAAAUCACGUGGUGGUACCGAUGAAGAAAAGAAAGUUAGAGAGGUGUGGCACGUCUGAGGAUGAGGACACGUGUAAGAUUGAGCUUGGACUGGUGUGCAGUGAGUGAAUGGUUCUUUUUUUGUGGCUGGUCUUAAUUACAAGUUUUGGUGUUGAGUUUUAGGUGUACAAAUAGAGAUUAACGAAUCUCUCUUUUUUCUCUUUUUGAGUUUUAUGUUUUGUUUUGUUUUCUUUUGCAUGUUCGGUGUUCUUCAUAAAUAUGUAUGAUGAAUGAUAAAGAGGUCUUAACUUAACAAAUCUUGGUUCGGAUCGACAUAACAAACAUUUCUUCUUUCCAUUCUAAAUUCUUGAUUUUACUCAUGUACUUAAACAAACGAUGCAAUUGAUGUAAACACGUUUAUCCCAAUAAAUUUUGUAUUUUAUUUAUAUAAAAAAAAACUUAACAAAUCUUCUAUUUCAGAAAUAUCUGGGGUUAGAUUACAAAGAAUCUAAGUUGCUUAAUGAUGAAAUCUCCAUAUGAUGAUUAGUCAUUCAUUUAUAAAUAUUUUGUCUCAAAAAGCCCUUUUGUAUGUGAACCGUGUUACCAAAUGACUCAGCAGCUAACAUGCAUGUGUGUUAGAUUUUUGUUCUCGAAGGAUAUGUGUAGGAACUUAAUUAGCUAGAGAAAACGAAAAGGAUGAAUUAUUUUAACUAAUUGGGUCGAAAUGUGUAUUCAGCAGAAAACAUAGCCCAACUCUUUCGGACUUGAAUCCUGUUUUGUCCAUCUAUCUUCCCCCCCUAUACACUCAAUUCUCAUACUAUCAGAUAUGCUAAAAUAAUUAAUGCAGUUUCUAGCCUACAGAUAUUUUGGGCUGUUGUGACUUACUUUUUGAUAAAUAAGAAGAUACUUUUGUUUCCAUAAAUUUUGAUUUCAGAAACUAAAAGUAUUAUAAGCCAAAAAAAUCAAUAAUAUAUGUAAAAUUAUUUGUAUGGUGAGUCUGUUUUAAUUGUAAAGCUAUUCAGUAAAAUGCAGUUUGCCAAAGUUAAAUCAUUAAUUAAUAUAUAUUUUUUCGGUUAACGGAUAAAAUAUAUAUUAAACUGCAUUUUAUACUUUUGUUUUUCCGUUAAUUGCCAAAGUAUAAAAAUCAUUCAAACUUUUGUUUUUCCGUUAAAUCUAGAGAAACUAAUUAAUAUAUAUUUUUUCGGCAAAAUGAUCGAUUUGUCUCUUUCUUCUUUCAAUAUUAAAAAUGAAGAUGAUGUAGAGAGAAAGUGUAGAAGUAGAACCAACAUUUAUCAAUACAGAAUGAUUUUUUUGGUUAAAGGAUAUCAAUACAGAAUAUAAUACGUUCAUAUACGGUGAACGUCCAUGCAUAUUUUACGAUUAUUAAUUCAUAUUUCUAAUUUGAUGGUACUUUUUUUUUUUUUUUUUUUGUAUGAAUGUAAAAUUUAGUCAUUAAAAAAACCCAUGGUUACAUGCAAUAUAUGCUUUUCUGAGCAAAAUUUUAAAAAUGAAAACAGGAGAAUAAGUGUUGAGAGAGAAACUGAAGUUUAGUGAUCGAGAAUGCAAACAGACCUCAUGCCCUCGUCCUAAACCAUUCACGCAGGCAAUCAUUGAACUUGCCCUGACGUUGUAACGUUGAUAGGCGAUUCCAAACAGUACUGUCAAUGUCCUUAGAUGGUAGCUAAAAUUAGAUCUUUAUCUGUAUUCUGCUUUUAAACUACGUGGAGAAAUAAUUGAAUGAAAUCGUUGAAACAUUUGUUUUGAUUAUACGAAUUUUUAAAGUGAUUUUUGUUUUGAAAUCUGAUAACUCGAAAAUAUGAGUUGGAUAGUUCUACUGCUACAUGAUUUCAGAAUGUAAACUCAUAGUCCGAAUGGUGACGACGUAUUUGAAAAGUGGUUUGAUAGUGCGAUAUGGUCCAACUGCGGUACAUGUGGGAAAAAUAUAUUUGCGGAAUAAGUACGGUUUUUAUAAAAUAAGCGGUACGAAAUAAUGUUUGAUUGGUGAAGAAUAGUAUUUAGGAUACAUAUAUAUAUAUUUUUAUAAUAUUUUAUUUUAUAAAAAUUAUUAUUAUUUUAAAUAAAAUGAUGUUAUUUGGUAAACUUAAUACAUACUAGAAAUUUCAGAAUUUUUUAAAUUUAAAAAUAUAUAUGUAUUAUAUGUAUAUAUACACAUAUAUAGACAAAACAAAAAACGCAUCAUAAUUGGUGAUACACAAAACAUGUGCGGUAUUGAGAUAAAACAGACCAAACAAAAAGAAUUUGAUGAGUGCGGUCUAAAAGUUAAAAUACACGAUGUGUGACUUGAAUGGUAACAAGUUAAAAAUACCGCAUGUAAAAACGCUAUAACGCGUCGCACAAUCACACCCUCAAUCAAAAUUUUUAACUUGUGCGGAAUUUGAUUCUUUGCUAUGGGCAAUGGAAUGCAUGAUCUCUAUUGGCGAUACUUCUGGCGCUUUUGCUUCCGAUUGUUCAGACCUGAUUUCUAUCAUUGACAACCAAGACGAUUGGCCGACAUUCGCAGCGGAAUUGGCAUCCUAUCGCUCUUUAGUUUGUUUUUUUCCUUUUUUUGUAUUAGAUUUCUUCCUCGUAGUUCUAAUACUCGAACAGAUUGUUUAGCUAAGAAAGUUCGGGCUCGUAAUAGCCUUUUCUUCCAUGUAAGCAUAUUGGUUCCUGAAUGGCUCUCUCUACCAGAAAGUAUCUUUCCGAUAACUUAAUAUAAAUGGUGUUUGAGGAAAAAAAAAUAUAAAAAAAUCACACCCUCAAUCUGUGUGCUUUAAUGGGUGGGGUGACAUCAGCCGCAUGAUUUCAGAGCUAAAGAUCUCUACAAUGUGAUGUGACAACAAACUACUUUACUUUAUUUUUCAUAACCAAUUUAUGCAUUAUAAAAUCAAUCAUAUUAUUUCAAUAUCAACGUCAAGUCAUCGAUUUACCCUGUAAAAGAUAGACCUGUAGUUUACGAGUUGGAGUUAAGUGGUUUCAAAUUUCUUUUUCUCGUCAGUGGUUACAAACUUACAAUUUAAAAUUUUUAUCUUAAGCUCUCCUCUCUUCUCUCUCCAAAAUCUUUCAGAGAGGAGAGCUUGAUAAUCGUUUUGUCUCCAGUUUGAUCCGGAUUUGUUUAUAUUCUCGUCUCUAUGCGAGAUCAAUAAUUUCCGAUUACAUAUCGGAUCUUCUGUUACCGACUAUGACCGGUCUUUUCUCCGUUUUUAACGGAACUUGAUCUUUAUCUCCAUUGUUGCUCACCCAUCGAUCUCAACGUUUUCUUCCAAGAUCUUUGUUGUCUCCAUUUCUUCGUGGAUUAACAUCUUCGUCACCUCCGAUUGCUCAAGACGCAAGAGCAAAAAUGGACUUUAGACUACAUCAAGAUAGAUGUAAUCGGUGGUGGAGUCUCCCGAAACUGGUGAUUCCAAAGAAUUUGUGAAGCAGCUCUACCUUUUAAUCCGGUAAAUGAUUUCGAUGCUUCUUUUGAUUGGAGUGGAGAUCGGCAGGAAGGAACAGUCUACCCAUCGCACUGAUCGGCGGUGGUUGAUCGGAGACGGCGGUGUUUAGCAACGUGAAGACGGCAGCGCUCGAUUCCUGACGCGUGGAUAGGUAGGGUACACGUCUCCAACACGUGUCAGAAGCUAGAAUUAUAAUUUUUAUGGACCGUUCUUCUCGCAUGUACUUGUUAUUGGGUUUUUCCUUACUGUACUUGUCCUAUGGGCUUUUUAAUAUAAUCUUUCGCCGGAAAAAAAAAAAAAAAAAAAAUCUUAUCUUAAAACAAUAAUAUUAUAUAUAACAGAAUGAGGAUUUUUGCGUCUAAUCAUUUUGAAAGGAUAUAUCAUAUGCAGGCGUCAAAAAGGUGACCCAUGUACACAAACACAACUGCAAAAUUGAUAUUUUAGUCAUUUAUGCCAUGUAGACAAUGAUUAUUUCGUAAGAAAAAAGUGUGUACAUUGCAUACAAAUUGCAACACACCUCCACCACGAAUUACUUCUACAAUUAUAAUGUCAAUAUAUAGUAUCGCAUCCUGUAAUGUUGGUGUAACAUGGUAAAUUCGGUACAUUCACUCUUUUAUGUAGCUGAGAAAUUUUGUACCUUGGAUUUGUUGUCUUUGGAAUCAUGGAAUAGAAGAUUAAUGUAUACUUGGAUAAACUAUCAAUUUUUUGUUACAGUUAAGUUAUUAGUCACACAAAAUAAUAUUGCUUUCCAUCAUUUACACAAUUUGUUUGUGUCUACUGUUUACUUACGUAGAAUUGUGUUAUAUAUUAAAUGAAAAUGUGCGUAACAUCUUUUGUAUCAAAUGAAAGGUUGUAGAUGUGACACAAAAAAAAAGAAUAUUGUUUACAAAAGUUUUCUUUCAACAUAAAGUAACUGGGUUAUUGCUAUUUUAAAAAAAAAACUAUAUAUCAUUUUCUCGCAAAGUUUGUGAGAAAAUUACUAUGAAAUACUCGGUUAUAAUUAAUAUGUUUUCUUGCAGUUUACUUUUAAACUUAUCAUUGCUCUUUAUAAGUGUAUUUAAUUUUAUAUUUUAUAAAUACUAAGAUUGAAUGAUUGAUUAGCACGUAAUGUACUAAUGGCUUUAAUAUAUGUGCACCUUUAAUUUAGUCUUUUCCUACCAGCAAUUUAAGCACUAGAGGUAAUCUAGUUUCCAUUACCUGCUAAUCAAUGUCACGGUUACCUGCUAAUAAAUCGUACUCUUGAAAACAUAUAGAUUAUUAUUGACAACCAUUAUUUUCACCAUGUCACGCACGGUUCAUUUAAUCAAAUUUCAUGUAGUAUCUUCAUUAUUUAUCCCAUGUGCUAAGUUUUUACUGAUUAUACGUACAUACUUAAUACUCUUUGUUUUUUGAGCAAAGACGCACAUACUUAAUACUUUGAUACGGAGAAAACGCUUAUUACUAAAAUUUGACUCUCUAUAGAACUUCAGUUGGGUGAUAUUCAAAUUAGCUCUCAUUAAUUAAUAUAUAUGGUGCAAAACAUAUAAAAACCAACAAGAAAAUCAAUAAGAUAAAAAUCAAUAACUUUUUUGUAGAAAAUAUAAAUGAGGAAUGGACAUAUAAGAGUUAAAAGUUGGCAUUAAUUAUAUAGAAUUACAAGUUGACAUUCUUCUCCGUUAUGAAAUAAUGUGCUUUAUUGAUUCAGACACUUAAAAUAUUGGAAGAUAAGAUGCAAAAAUCAAGCUUAUAAUCAUUAUAAGUGCUGACCUAAAACAAAAACAAAAUAAAUUUAAUUAAAAAAGAUCAACUAGCUAGUUACCCCCAUCACUUAUCAUUCCUAUUAUUUGUCAUGUUUCUUUAUUAUUUAAAGGCCUAUCUAGAUUGAACCCAUUUUACUAUAUAAUUAUGAGUUUCUUUAUUCUUAUAUUAAAAAUUCACCUUUUUACUCUAUAGAGUCCAAAAAAAUAAGAUUAAGACCAACUGUUUUUGGCUUAGGUCAGAGAACAUAAUGUGACCUUGAAGCCAAAUAUAUAAACAUAAUGUGACCUUACACAGAUACAACCGUCAAAACCCUUCAUGCGUUUUUUUAAAUUUAUUUUAUGAAAAGAUAUUUUCUUUCCAUAUAUCUCCAACUAAAGUAAUAGAAAUUAGGGAGAGGAACUUCUUUUUAUACUUUAAUUUGACAUUGGAGCACCAUUUUAUUUUUGGUUUAGGAAACAAUCUUCUUAAAUCUUACGAGUGCACUGUCCAAAUCGAUUAUAUAUAAUUGUAAUACUCGACAUUUCUCUGUUUCUGCUGGAAUAAUGUUGUUAAUUUUAGUUUAAGUUUUUAUGAUUUAGUGACUAAAUUAACAUAUUGAAUUUAAGAUGUUGGAAUUAUGAUUUAUUAAUGCAUUAGAGUUCAGAUAUAUAAAACAAAUCAAAAUUGGCAAUUGAAAAUGAAAACAGUAAACAGUGUUUUACAGAGAAUACUUAUAGAAACAAAAUAUAUUACAAACAACAACGUUGAUUUUUAAAGUUUCUGAUUUUUUUAUGAAGUUCUGAAAAUAUGUGAAAAUUUAUAAAAAUAUGUGAAAGUUUCCCAAAAGACGUGAAAUUUUCAAUAUCUUUUGAAAUUUCUUUUCUUCUCCUCAAAAUGUCCAAACAUGCUGUAAAAUAUGGUAACCAAUACUCAUAAAAAUCAAAUGUUUUAGCACACGAUGAAAGUUCCAAAAGAGAAAAGUUAAUUACUAUGAAUUCAUGAUGGUUUCUGUUAACAAAAAUGUGAGUUAUUUGAGUACAUUAAAUUUCCAAACGAGGCUAUCUAAUGAAAUAAGCAUGUCGACAAAAAAGUACAUAGAUAAAAGCUCCUUGACCUAAAAUAUAUACAUAAGUCUGUGGACAAAAGAAAGUAUACAUAUAAACUGUUUAAAAACUGGUAGCCAUCAACCCACUUUUCACCCUCUUUCCUAUGAAUUGCAAUGUGGCUUUCUAUUAGACUCACGAUAAAAUCAUUCGUCUUGGUAAAUGGUUUAAAAAAAAAUAGUUCUAACGUUAAAUGUUGAUUGAUGCAGUGCAUUUCCACUUCGUUUUGAGUUUGUAUCUUACCAUUAUUUUUUUAGAAGUUGACUUUGAUUUCCAUGCAUAUUUUGGAGUUCAUGAGUCUCGAUAGAUUCUUUUUUUUCUUUCUCUCAAAUGUUAUUAAUUAGCACCAAAGGUUUUCUCCUCAAAUAGAGAGUAAUUAAAGGUUACAGAUUAAUCCCCAAUGGAGUAAGACCAAAAAUUACAGAUUAGUAAUCAAAUAGAAUUUCAAUAGAGACAUUGGGGGAGAAGAACUUUAAGCAAUCGCUCUUCUCAAGCAAAGAUCAAAUUCAAUGGAAACAAGAUCAUCUCUAAUUAAAAAAAGAAAAGAAAGACAAUCUCUAAUUAAAAGUAAGAAGUAAACUUCAUGUAUAUGAGACAAAGAAAGAGUAUCAUUUUGUUUUUGUUCUUGUAGAUGAGUCAAAGAAAGAGUAUCAUUUGGUGUCAUGCAUGGCGAAAGGAGACCGACCAGAGUGUCAUCUGCUUUCAGAGUGCACGUUGGAUAGAGGAAUUAUAAAUUUAUAAUCAUGCAUGUUGUACAAUAUUACUACAAAUUAUCCAAAUAUUGUAGUUAAAAGAUAUUUUGUUGUUUUGAAGAAUAUAUAGUUUUGAAAUGAAGAUAAUGGAUAUGUUGUUAUAUAAUUAAUUACGAACGCACAACUCAAAAUGUCUCGCUAUGUUUUAAUUAACUUGCAAUCUAUUUCAAUUUACAAUUAUAUAUAUAAAAAAACUCUUUAUUAUACUCAUUUCAAAAUCGUUUCAGUUACAAAUCCCUCAUGUCACUCAAAAAUAAGUACUCUCUCAGGAAGCUUAACUAGAUAAUUCUCCCUUCAUAGAUCAAGUGGCUUCAAAACUAAUUGAACUCCAUACUUAGGUUUUAUAGUAAGCACAACUAUAGGAGCAUGUCUAUAGUUCUCCGAUAUUGCAAAACUGAAUUUGGAAACAAGCAUUGCUAAUAUUAUCUUCGCCUCCAUCAUGGCAAAAGUCUGGCCAAUGCAGUUCCUAGGUCCAGCCGCAAAAGGCAUAAAAUGGCGACUAGAUGCAAAACUUCUAGUAGUAAAUCGUUCAGGGUUGAACUCGUUCGCAUCUUCGCCCCAUAAUUCAUUACUAUGAUGGAUCGCAAGGACAGGGAUCCAAAUAGAUAAACCUUUAGGGAUGAUUAGGUCACCUAGUUUUAUGUCUUCAAAUGCCAUUCUUGGUAAAAGUGUGGCAGGAGGGUAAAGUCUUAAUGACUCGUUUAUCACUUUGUUUAACUGUUGAAAGAAGAAAAAUAAAGAAAGAGAGAUAAGUUAGUUGAAUAUUAAAUUACAUAAAACCCUUUUAAGAUAUCAUAUCUAACAAUCUUGUGAAGUGCCUUAUGACUCUUUCACAAAGAUCCCUUACUUGGUUUUAAGAAUUGCCUUUCAAGCUGUCCAAAUCGUUUAAUGAAUGAUUUCUUUUAGUAUUUUAUGCAAAGCAUGUUGUAGUGCUAAUUUUUUCAACAAGUGGAAUAUUUUACUUAUCUCAUUAUUAAAAUAUGCCUUAGUUCGAUUUUAAAUGUAGAAAGCCAAUUCAUCAUGAGUCUCUCUAUUGGUCUAUCUAAUCAAAUGUCGAAGCAAUGGUAAUGUAAAUUUCACUUUAGUCUAAUAAUUAAAUACCUGAAUUUGUUAUAUGUCAUACAUUUGAAAUGAAUUAUCUGACUUGAAACUACAUAUCAUAAUUAAUGGGAUAACAUAUUAAGAAGAUUUUCUAGAUAUAUCAUAUUAAAGUUGACCGGAUAUGUACUAAUUGAGAUUUAGUUACGGAAGAAGCACUACGACUUAGUGGCAUUGCCUGUAAGUGUGUUGAAUGAACGUAGUACCCCACCCGCACCCAUAACAAUUGGCGUUACCAUCAAAUUUUUAUUUUAUUUUUCAAAUGAAAGAUAUAAUUGUGAUUCUAUCCUAAUUCUCGACCAAAGUCAAAACUUUACUAGACAUGUGUAUAUGCAUAACAACGCAUAAGACAUUAACACAUAGUAUGUUUCAAUUUUUUAAAAUGUUAUACUAUUGUCUUCACUUCUUUUAAAAUCUCAGAUUUUUUUUAUAAGAUUCUUAUCUUUUGUAAAACUGUAAUGGAAACGUGAAACUCGUAUGAUCUUUCUCUUUCCGUUUGCUUUUAAAACAUUCAAAAAGAGUUCGGAGUUUUUGUUUUGGUCAACUAGAUCACCUUUACUCAUUUAUUUUAUUAUUUACAUAGGUUUGAAAGCGAACCAAAAAAAUAAAAAAAUAUAGAUAACGAAUUCUAACUUUACUAGCGAGAAAAUUACCUACCUCACGAUUAGAGAAGGAAAGAUAUAUAACAAUGUGGAAAUAAGAAAGACUCUAAAAGCUACGAUUUUACGUUCGAGAAGGACAUAACGCCUAAUUAACGAUUAAUUGAAAUUUUAUUUUUUUAUUAUUGAUUUUUAAUAUUUUGUUGAUAAAAUUUAAAUAUGAUGUUAAAAAAUUUCUAGAUAUAUUUUCCAUAUUCUAAGUAUUUUAUUAAAACCAAUUAGAAAUAUAAUAUAAGGAUGUCUAAGCUAAAAAAACAAUAGUUGAAUUUAUAGGUUUCUAAGCGGCCGAUAGAAAGGUGAUAAGAAUUAACCAUUGUUCCAUUGAAAAAACAACGAAGAAAGGUGAUAAUGUGAGUGAAAAUUAAGAACGUACCGAAGUAAGACUUGAGAGCUGUUCAACGGAAGGGACACCAUCUUGGCCACAAACUUGCCGGACCUCAUCGCGGACAUUGUCCUGCCAAGUGGGAUUAUGAGCAAGGAGCAUGAGAGUCCACGUGAGGAGAAGAGAGGUUGUCUCAUGACCGGUAAAGAAGAAAGUCUUGCACUCAUCCAUUAUCAUUUGAACAUUAAGGUUGUUCUUGUUGCUAUCCAUCUGGUUCAAAAGAAGCCCUAAGAGGUCAUCCCCGUAUGAGCUACUCCGACCGAUCUCUACACUGUCUUUUCGGCUGUCUAUAAUCUCCAUCAAAAGACGUUCCACUUCCGUUUUCAGAGACUUUAUUUCUCUAUUGUAUUUGCUAGGUAGAAACCUUUGAGACACAAAAGAUUAUAUAGUUACACGUUAAGUCAUCAAUUAGAUCCAUGCAAAUAGUAACCAUGUCAAAUAUUUUUAUCUUUCCAAUUUAAUAUGUUAGUGGAUAGUUUAUAUUAUCAACGUUUCAUUAAAUUAAGUACCACUAUAUAUAGAAUCGUGAAAACCAAAACAAAAUAUAUUAUUAACGUUUUAUUAUUCUUUUAGGAAAAUUUAUUUAAUUAAAAAACCGCAAAAUGACAAAAAGUUAGUAGAAUCAUAGAAUGAUUUAAUAUAAUUACUUGCAGUUCGUAACACAAAACAAUCAAAAGAAAGAUUUGUGAAAAAAGAAAAAAACUUACCGGCUACCGGGAAAACAGAGGUGGCGAGUGGCUUGAGCACAAAGACGUUGAAGUACAGUGAGUAGACUAAAAAGCUCCUUUCCUUUAUCACAACUACUUCCAAAUUCCGUCCUCGAUAUUAUAUCCGCCGUGAGCCGCCGCAUCUCCUCACCAAUUUCCACCUCUUCUCCAACCUCCUUUCUCAGCCUCUCAGCCAUCAUCUUCGUGCAUUCCACCAUAUGCUUAGCGUAUCCUUUGAGCCUAUCACGUGUGAAAGCCGGAGCUGCCAUGUGACGUUGGUGGUGCCAAGCCUCGCCGUUGGCCAUGAGAAGCCCACGCCCUAUAAACCCUUUAGUUCCUUGUUGUUGCAGCCAUGAUUUCCCGGUGACCGGAUUGUGCUUCGUUAGCAAUUCUUUAAUCAUCUCGGUCUCCGUUAGGCAUAGUCUCGGUUCUGUCCCGUUCCACAUUAUAAAUCUCUUCCCUGCAAAAGGCCAUUUCAGUCAUUUUUGAAGUGUGUAAUAAAAUAGAAAAUGCAUUGUAGGCAUGUCCGGUCCAAAGCAUAAGCAAAGGAAAGAAACUAUAAUUAUCCGCUUCAUAUUUUACGUUAAUAUUUGGGGAAAACAGAUUUUAUGUAGCAUAAGAAGAGACGUUUAAGAAAAAAAUUAAAUGGACAUCCGAAAACGUUGAACUGGUCAUGGGUACAUACCAUAUUGUUUGGACCAAGAGACGUAAUGAGGAAGAAGGCGUGGGACGAUGUUGUGGUGGAUGGAAGAGCAGUCGUUAGAAGCGGAGUGAGAGAGCAUUUUGGAGAUAUCAAUGAUGUUUCCGGUGAGGAGACGGGGUUUAGGCCCCGUGAUGCCUUGACGUUCCAUAAACUUCUUGAUUCGUCUUGGUGUGAGGAAGUAGCAACAAAUGGAGUCGUAUAGGACUCUUAAUAUCAAGGUCAUGACUAUCACGAGGACGUACUUUAGUACUAAUGUAACCAUCAUCUUUUUAAUUUCUUUGUUUUAUUAAAAAAAUAAACAAGAUUUUGAGAAAGAGAGAAAGAGAUGGUUUGGUGAGAGAUACGGAACAACCUUGCAGAGUACCAAAGCAUAUAUUUAUAGUGCUGCAGAGGAAGCAGUGGAGUUAAAACGAUAAUUCUUAUUCUUGUUAUUUUAUUUAGUCAUUUUUACUUUUUCAAAAAUGUUUUCAGCUUUUUCAAAACAAAUACUUAUUUAUUUGUAUUCUUAACACGACUUCCAUUUUAACAUAGAAACGAAUAUUCAAGAAAAUUCGUCGACUAAUGGCAGAUCCUAAAUUCAAUUAUUAUUAUUUUAACAGAUACUGUGGCUUCUAGUUUAUGAUUUAAAGAUUUUAUUUGUAAGUAAUUCCUCAAAUUAAGUAUGAUUGGUGAAAGUUGGUUGCUAUCUAGAAAACUGUGAAAUUUCUUUAAAAUCAGAUUUUCUUGUAAAGAGAGUAUAGUUGAGAAAGUAGUAGAUUUUUAAUAAUAACUUUUUAAAUAUACAUAUAUGUACAUACAUAUAUACAUAUAUUUUUAGUAACGAGAAUAUAGCAUAUACAAGCUGGAAAUAUUAUUUAUAUAGAAAAUGAUAAUAAAUUGCAACAUAGAAAUAUUUAUCCACUAAAAAUGUUGGGGACAAAAAUUUGCGGUUCACACCAAGCAUUAAAAAUAUUUAUACUUUCAAGAAAAUAAGAUCUGUUCAAUCAUUUAUGGUAUGAUAUAUUUUAUUUUGGUCUAUAUGGGAAUUUUGUUCCAUAGUUACUUUUUCUUUUCUUUGGGUAGAGUAUUACAUAAGAACUAUUUAAACGGCUUUCUUGUUUUUUCAAAAAUGCCUAACUUUAUUCUUGCAAAACGUAUCUGAGUCAGAUCCGAAAAUUCAUUCUUUUUCAUAUUGGCAAUAACCAGAUUUAUGUUUACGUGCUUAUCUACUUGGGUGAUUGAAAUCAACUAAUCAAGGGCACUUGUUUGAGUGCAUUGAGCUGCUCCAUUUCCUCAUUUAAGAUUUAUAACACUUUCUAAACUUUCAUAAUUGUUAGGUUUAAACGUUUCUGUAAUCUUUUACUGUUAUUAUGUUACAUAUGAAGGACCAUAAAAGUAAGAUUUAAUAAGUAUAUUAAAGUUUUAAGCGUACAUGCAAUUUGUUAAAAUUAAUAUUUUGGUGAAACAAAGAAAAUCUUGUUUGAUAUUUUGUUUGUUUGAUUGAAGUUUUAACAAUGCGUAAAUAUUGUUUCAUUGACAUUUUCAUUUUUUGCAACAAUUUUGUGUCUACAUUAUCGCUAUUACCACAUUCUUUUCGCUAUAUCGCCGAUUAAUUGUAUCAAAAACAUCAUAUAUUUCGUUUCUACAAUUGUAAAGUAUGUAACCAACAAAUCCAUUUUUUCAUGUCUAAUAGAUGGUACAUCUCAGACUUGAAUUUUACUAUUAUUAUUAUUAUUAUUAAAUAUCUCAAUCUAAAGCGAUUCAGAGAGAUAUUCAAACUCAGUUUUAGGAAGAUUUGUUAGUUACAUUGCAGCUCUCUUCUUCUUCAUUUUUUUUCCCUGUGAUUGGCUUUGUUCAUCUUCGAUGAUGGGAGUGGGAUUGACAAGUCGUGUUCUUUAGAAAUCGUAUGCUUCUUUCAUAAUUUUAAUCAAAACAAACAGUAAAAAAUUGACUGAAAAAUAACAUAUUACUUGUGUUUGUAAAAUUCUAAAAAUGGUUUUCAAAAUUUUCCCCAAAAAUGGUUUUCAAGAAAUUGGAUAUAUCAUACUUUUGGAUCAACUGUAGAGAAAGCAAUAAAGAAGGAAAGGACACAAGAGAGAUUGGGUGGAGUUUAGACAAAUUUAAGGGUCUCCAAAACAUUAGGCUGAACACAAUAGAUAUGGUGAUGCCUACUGUUUGAAAAACGACUAGAUAAGGGAUUAUGGACUUGGAUGACUUAUUUGGAAUGAAUUUAGCCGGCUUGGGCAUUGUGGAAAGACGACGGAUCAGGUUCAAUGCUCUCCCGAAGAAAGCAGAAUGUGCCAGCUAAACAAACUGUAAUGUGACUGUUGUUCCAAAUCAAUGUUAAAAUAUAAUAAAAAAUGACAUUAAGAAAAAAUACUGUUUCAUUCGCACUUUUAAUAUAGAAAUGUAUUUACUUAUAGCAUUUUUAACUUGUACUCUAGUAAUUUGUAAUUGUAAUAUUGAUGUUUAAAAAAUAUUAAUUUGAUCUAAACAAUUGAUGUCGUUACAGGUAUGUCGAUUUAUAUACUUUUUAUGAUUAGAAAGAAGAUUUGCCGUCAAUUACAAAAGCAAAAGCAGUGAUGGGUAAAGAUUGCGUAUCUUGGGAAAUGAAUAUGAAAAGCAAAGAAAACUUAUACACAUCAUAAUAAUCUCGAGAAAACAAGCUUGCCAAGAUUUCAACAAUCCACUUAAAAUAUUUAAAGAGAAUUAAAAGAUAAACAUAUCUGAAUAUUCUUUCUAAUAUUAUCUCCACUGUUUUAUUUACUUUUCUCGUCACUUUCUUCUUUGAAGAACAUGUUUGGUGACAAAGUCAUUCCGUAACAACCGGUUAUAUGGAUAUAUUGUACACGUUAUAAAUAAGAAAGAGUAUGUUUCCUUCACUUUGAAUAUACAUAUUGAGCUUAAUUCGUGCUAUUUACUAACCAGUGUUGUACAAAAUGAUUUGGAUGACUGUUUGUCUAGACGGACGGACAUUCUAGACAAACAGUUUUGUGACGGUUGUGUAUACGAUACCUAUAUAUUCGAUCCUGGUAACUGUUAUAUAGAUGUUAACUUUACUAAAAAUAAAAAAGUGAUUCAAAAGUUCAUGAUAUACUUUUAUUUUAUUUUGAGUAUAUUUUUUUCCUUAUGACUGCAUAGUUUUCUUAAUUUUCAUGUGAACAAGUUAGUGUGUGAGAAUUCUGUCUGAAAACUUCUUAAUACAACCAAAAGAUAUUUCAAGAUACUACUAUGCGAAUAUGUCACUAGAGUAACUCAUUUAAUAGUUUAUCAAAUGGACAUAUCUAAUAAAGAAUCUAGCGGAUCCUUCUCACAGUGAGUGACAUCCAAAUAGAUAUCGUUGAAUUAGAUACAUAAAGAUUCCAUUUAAAGAAGAUCAGAAUGUAAUUAAUAUACAAUUAGUAUUAUUUAGUCAAAGAUUGUAGAAUCAACAAAGAGGAUCAGAAAACCUUAUUUCAACUUUUAAAUGAGACUGAACAUUCUUUUUCCUACAACGUGCAACACAAUCCCAUGGCAUGCCAAGUAAAAAAGUGGAAACUUGUAGAACAAUCAAUCCCCAUAUUAUCAUGAAGUUUCAAAAGAAACCUCAGAAUUUUAUUUCUUCUGAAUACAUACCCAUUUUGUUUGGUCAAGUCAACAAAUGAUCAUUCUCUUUUCUAUGCCAUGAUAAAAUUAGUCGGCAAGUACUUAAUUUAAUCCUCCAAUUAGUGUACCAACUACUAAUGCAUAUAUAUAGUAUGCCGACUGUUUUCAUAGACUUAACCUUUAAUUGUUAGAUUUUUUUUGGAUCCCAAAAACAAAGAACGACUAACUUUGUUUCUAUUAUGCUGCUAACAGAUUUGCCUUGUUCAUAUUCAUGAACAUUUCUGUGUUACCUUUUGUUGUCAAUGUAACAUACGAAUUUGAAUGAGAUCGACUCCGAUCAAAUAUUAAAUUUACAUUAAACGUAUAUUUAGAUGUUGAAAAAACUUGUAGCACAGUUAAUCACCCGAUUCAGCAUUUACAUUGCCCCUGUAGUGACUAACUUUGUUACUGAAAAUUUUUAAAUCUGGUUAAAGUAAUUUCUUAGUCCACUGAAUUUUUGAAAUUUGUAAUUAAAAUAAGGUCGAGUUUUUAACUCAGGAAAACUGGGUGACCGAAAGUAUUCAGAUGAAGAAGUCAUAUAUCACUGUUAAUGAUUAAAGGGCUGCUGACCCAAAAAAGUGAUUCAUGUGACUUUAUUACAUUUUAAAUUGUUUACGAGAAUUUUCUUCUUCGGGUCAAAAGAAAAAAAAACAAAAGUGAUGAAAAAAGGUGAGCGAUAAUAUAAGAUUGUUGAUAAAAAUUAACAAACUGAAGUAACAUAUAAAUAUUCGACCUUUUGUUUUACUUAUAACGAGCUUUUUACUUAUGUAGUAAUGUAUACGAAAACCGAAUUGCAGACUUAAACUAAGAAAUGUUUGAAUGGGAGAGUAUUAACAGUUGUGAGAAUUCGAAAGAGAAGAGAAGAGACUUUUUUUAUCAGAUAUGUAUAUACUAAAGAGAUUGUAGCAAUAACAGUAUUUGUGGUCUGAUGUGAUUAACUAAGGUUAUUGCAUAUAAUGUGUACAAGUCUAAUUCACAAACUAAGCUAAGCUAAGUUUUUGUAGGCCUCGACCCUUUCUCUUCCAACAAGUGUUCAGUCCCGCGAGCUUUGCAUCAGCUCGAACCACUGCAAAAACAAAAACAAAACUUGUCAGAUAUCUAAGUAUUUUGACAGUGUAGAAAACAGAGAAUGGAUAGUGAAAAGUUACCUGUCUCAACACAUCACCAAGUGUUCUGGGUAAGGCUUCGAUGUCUCUUAGCACAAUGUAGUAUGGGAAGGGGAAGGAAUCCAAGUAAUUCAUUUUCUUAUAAGGUCUCCUUUCACCAUCAUAUACAUAGUCCUGAUUAGAGAACAAAAAAAAGAUGUAGUUUUUUUAGAAUCAUUCAUGAUAACUACUCGUUUCAAUCUUAUAAAUAUGUAUAGGAAGUAAUAGAAUUGGACAUACCGCUAAAUCAAAAACAGAUUGCUCUGCGUCAUCGAGAAGCAGAUAUACCACCAUACGUUUUUGCUGGAGAAAGCUUCUAACAGUUCGUUUCAACUUCUCUCGCUCAUGGAACUUCCCAUCGCCGAUGAUUAGUACAAGUUGUUGAAGCGGGUUGCUCCCGUAAGACUGUCGUCUUGUGCUGGCCAAAUUCUCUAGCAUUUCAUUCAUGUUUCUCAGCAGAUUGACGACUGGUUGAUCUUCAAUGAGAUUUUCUUGUUUAAAUGUCAAAUUUGAGAUCAUCUGCAUCACAGAAACGAGAAAAGAUGUGUUUUGUAAGCAAUCAGAAGACAAUCCACAGUGAACACAUGGGAAAUGAAAGAUUUAAGGCCACUAACCUUAAUGCCGGAUUCUGUGGUGAAAGACUGACCAAAAUCAUGUAACAUCUUUAUGCUCCCUUGCUUCCCGAAACUUGCCACAGCCAAACUUCCCAGCUCAAGCUGUGACAUAGCUCGGCAUACCGUUGCCAAAGCUCUAAUUGCAAAAUCACCACAUCCACUUUCUGACAUGCUACGCGAGUCAUCCACAGCGAUAACAACUUGGUAAUCACGCUUGUUUGGUUUUGUCCUCCUCAACCAAAUUUUAUCUUUCCGAUAGUGACUUGCUAUGUAUGGAAUAACCUUCUUCAUGUUGAUCCUUUUACCCGUUCUGUAGUCACCACUGAGCUUGCUAGCAAGCGUGGGUUCUAAGAUAAGACGUAGUUGCUCAGCCAGCUCCUGAGACGGUUUUGCAGUAAGCAAUUCACAUCUCCUCCAAAGAACAACAGCAUUGCUUCUGGCAUCUGGAUCUUCCUGAUUAUCCUGAUUGCUUUCCGAGUCAUUAUCAGUCACUUGCAUCCGGUCCAGAUUACAUGCCUCUUCCCCCAAGAAAGUAUUGUCGACAGAGACCAUAGAGUCCAUCCUACUGUUACCAUCACCAAAAUUAUGAAUAGGAGAGUUCUCUUGGUGGGUCCUAUCUGUAUCUGGUUCUUGGACCUGUUCCGCGAUGCUAUUACUGAUCGAUGGUUUGGAUUGGACAGCAGGUUUGUUUUCUGGGUUCAAGUCAUCAAUAUCCAUUGGAGAGACAUCAUCCUGAUUACCUGCAAGUUUUUCUUCUUCGGAUUCCCCUUCUCUCAUAUCUGUGUUCACUUGCUCAGGCAACGCAGGUCCUAGAGCUUGGGAAGUUCCUGCAUCAAACUGAGAAGCAAAUCCAUAUUCACUAGCAUCAGGGUCUUCCAUCUCAUUUUCAGCCUCUUGCUUUUCUCCAAGGUCAGAGGAGAUUCUAACUCUUUCUUUCCACUCCUUCAAGGCAUCACCAACGUUCCUAUAAGGAUUGACCUUGGUUUGUUGAGCAGUAGAUGACUGGUUUUGAGGAAAUUCCAUCUUUGGUAAGUUGUCUGUCAAUGUCUCACCGUUGGCCAUGUUGGUCAUCAUGAGGUUCAUUUCCGUGUUACUACUCGAAGGCAGAUCCAUUGAAUCAGUGAGUUCAUCCGUAACAUCAGUAGCAGACAAAUUUUCUUGUGGUGCUGUACUUCCUGCACCCAGCACAUUAGACCCAUGGGGAUUUUGUGAACCAGACUCUACGCCAGAAAUAUUAUCAUUACGGAAGUUCGGUUUCAUCAUGUCUUCUGACAUAACUUCUUUUCCUUCUAUUGGUUCCGUUUCUGGUUCCUGUUCAAGAUCAUUUCCAGGUUCUUCUUUUUGGGGUGAUCCACACCUAUCUUCAGCCUCAGCCUCCAUAUUUUCCUCAGAUGGCUCUUGAGUUUCUUCUUGAUCAUUUUCACCUUCUUCAGGAUGCUUUUGAUCUUCUGAACAAGGUUCUUCCUGCUGAUUUGCAUCUUCCUUUUCGACCUCCUCUGUUUUGUCCAUCUCCAUGUCAUCAUCAAUUUGUUCAUUAUCGACAUCAGGAGUUAGUCCACCAAGUGCUUCUUCCUUGGUCUGGAUUUUUUCUUCUAAAUUAUCUGUAUCAUCAAAAUCAUCCUGCUCCACAUUCUCAUCGUUUCCUUCUUCCGGUUUGUCAGAAGUAUUGGACUCCUCAGGCUCAUCAGCAGUUUCAACACCAUCAUCCUUGGCUCUUAGCUCCCUUGAUCUUGUGUCCUUGUCGACUAUAGAUGGUCCAGAUUCAUUCUUCUCAUUCAUAUUUUCUUCCUCAUCUUCUUCAUCCUUGUUCCAUGGCUUUUCAUCGGCUUUUUCGGCAUCAGAUCCCACAUCUCCUAUUCCAUUAUCCAACGGCUCAUCCUCACUUCCUUCGUCUUCCUUGUCUUCUUCUUCAUCCUCACUAACGCUGUAUUCUUUGCCAUCAAAUUCGUCACUCAUCUCAAUGCCUUUGUUUUUACCCAGCACAUCAUCUUGCUCUUUCUCUUCCUCUUCCUGCAAAGACAACAGAAGAAAACUCGAUUGGUAAAAUCCCAUAGAAAAUUCAGGAUGAGUGGCAGGCAAUAAGGAAAGAGGCAGUAUAAACCUUCUUAUCUGUGCCAUGCAGUUGGUCUUCAUCUUCUAUUUGGUCACUUACAUCUUUUGCCCCCACACCAUCUCCCAUACCAGUACCUUCUGCAGCUUCCGAUUUGUCAACUUUAGAGUCAUCAUCUUCUUCAUUUUUGGAGAUGCCAAAUCCUUUUGUAAAUAGAUCGGCAAGAACACUUGCAAGGACAUGGGUUAUCAGUGAAACCUACAGACCAAAAGCACAGAUGUUGUUGUCUUAUUGGAAUAAAAUAGUAGAAGGUGUGUAAAUGCCGAGAUCUCUUCACACUAACUAACAUGCUUGACAUUCAGGAGGUUGUUUAAAGAAAAUUUAUCAAUUAACAGGAUCAGUUUAAAGAGAUGAUUGUCCCGAAUGACUUUGAAAGAACAACAUAAGAUAAACACAUACCGUUUUGCUUAUCGCCAAAAACUCUUUAAGGUAACAAUCCCCAAAGCUCAAUAAAAGAUCCAAAAAUGCUUGAAGUUGCUUCAACUGGUCUCCAACACCAGCUGAAAGGACGCCUGAUGAGUUCAACAGUUGUUCCUAUGAAGAUAAAAGCCUCAGUUCAACAUAAGCUUGAAAAUAAAAGGAAAAUAGCAUCCGCAUACAUCAAAAGACAAUCCAACUUACAAUGGAACCAAAUGAUUCGGACAGGAGUUUACACAGGUUAUCAAGGUUCAAGUCAUUUUCUGCCUUCUUAAACAGACCAUCCCAUGUAGUAAUAUUCAUUUCCUCUUCUUGAGAAAGACUUCCAUCUUUAUAAGAGCAAAGCUUUCCAAUCACAUCCUUAACAUUUGCAAAUAUACUUGCAAGAUUUUCUUCAAGAAAUAGUCGUUCCUUGGGUUCCAUUCCAGUUGACUGGUCUCUCACGUUAAGUAAGCAGUUCAGAUUUUCAGCCAACAAUUUCCCCUGCAUCAAAUAAAGUUCUUCAAUAUGACUCUAAGAAUCCUAAACGCAAUUUAUUUGCUAGGCUUGCAUCUGGAAAAAGAUAAAACUAAUCCACCAAGGCUGAAUAAAUACCUCUUUAAACACAGGGGAAAAUUGACUGAGAAGAACGUCUCUGCAAUAGCUUUUCUCAUUGUUUUCACAGAAACUUGAAAUUUGGUUCUCAAGGUCCGUAAGUUGAUCAAAGUUCUGGCGUAGCACCUGAACCAUAUGCUGAGUGACAAACUGCUUAAGACUGCUACUUGGUGUGAUGAUAAAACCGUUGCAAUCAAGUAGAAGCCUAUCCAGCGAAGCCUGAUGACAACAACACAUUCAGACUCUUGCAAGAAAUAACAGAGCAGAAAGAUUUAAAAGAAGCCCAAGGAUACCUUGGAAUUUUGAGCGAUGGGAAUUAGUAUUUCAAUAAAGCUGAGCAAACUCCGUGAUGAGGUUUUCACAGCUUGACAGGAAUCCAAGUGUGUACUUCCAACUGUUCUCAGUAAGGCCGACUCCUCAAGAAGCAUUGCAGUAAUGUUAUCAAAGAGUUGCUGUCAUAUCACAAAAAAGCAAAAGCUUAAUCCAGUGUUGUUGCAACAGACAUUCAGUGCACAUCAUUCAAGUUAGAAAGCUGAAAUACCUUCUGUAGCCACAAGCAAUUGAAGACAGCAUGUUGAUUUUGGGGGAAACUGAACACAGAAUCAUCCUUUCUAUCCGCACCAACUGAAUCACCCAGUAAUCUCGCUAGAGAUAAAACACAUUGGCGAAAGCGGUUGAAAAGUUCGGCAAAGGCAUACGCAGAUUUCCUUUGUUGCCGUUGUAUUUCCACAAGAUGAUUGAGAAAUGAGAUUGCCCGUUUAACCUGUUAACAUAGGAUGGUUUGCAGAAACAACUGGUUUAAAAUUGAGACUCGGUGAAGCCCAGAUAUAAAUUACAAGCUUCAAAGUCUACCUGCUCAGCUGUUACAUCGGAGUGUUUUCGGUCAAUAUUUAACAUGAGUUGCACUGAAGCCAAGCUCUUAAAGUAAAACUCAUUUGCCACUCUCCACUCAACUAGUGAAUUUUCCUUGUUUUGAUCUUCUACACCCAUGGAAGGAUGUAUGUUACUUUUGGUAUGUGUUAGCAGUAACAGAUGCUUUGGAUCGUAUGCUGGCUGAUAAAGCAACCCUUUAAAGUGAUUUGACAUCUACAUAAGAAGAUGAUCAGAGAAUAUAUAUGAUUAAUAAACAGAGCAUGACUAGAAGAAACAUACACAGAAGUAUCGACAAGCAAAAGUAUAUUACCUCUAUAUUUUCAAACUUGUGUUUCUGCAAACCACUACUUUCUAAUAACUUGAGAAGUUCAAACAGGGCCCUCUUCUUUGCAACAUCUCUAUCACUGUUUCUCCAUAGAUCUGAACAGCCAGCUAUGGUUUCACCAAUCCUAGCAACCGUACUCCACAAAUUUUUCCAAUCACCCUGAUAGACAGGGGACGAAUACUGAUGCUCUGCAAAUAUAUUAUGCAAGCUUAAGAAUAUGCAGACUCCCCAAAAAUAAAGGAAAAUCACCAAAUAGAACCAAGAGAGAAUGGAGUUAGUGUACAAACGAACCUGCACCCAUCAGCAAUGUUUUAUAGUGCAUUUCUUGGUGAAAGCGUCCUACCGAUUCCUUUAAUUUAUUCCACCAGACAACAUACCAUGAAGACCUACCAAGAAAGUUUAAAGCAUAUAUGAUGGAGGGUUCAACUUCCAUAAACUUCUCACAAUGCAUGCAGAAAGGCACAGGAUGCAAAUGUAUACCUGUCCCUCAAUUGCUCUGCAUCUAAAGCACUAACUAGGACCUCGAUCCUCAUGUCGGAUGCUCCAUCCAUAAGAUCUGGAUCUAGUAGAGGGAGAAAUUGAGCUCGUUCCUUCGUCAGGUCUGGCUUAACAAGCAUUACAGGGAGGCGUAGCAUGUCCUGCUCAACAAAAAAGAUGCCAAUUAGAAAACUUUUUAAUAAGGUCCCAUCAUUCAGACUCAUAUAAGCCAACAUAGAUAACUGAGAGUCGUGUGUUUAUAUAAUAGUCCCCCAGAAAAAUGAAGAACCAAUAACUUACCGUAAACUUCUGUAUCAGUUUCUUGACCUUUUGCCUGGUCCUUUUAGUGGUCUCAUUGUACAAAUAAUUAUCUGGCCUCUCCCACCGACAAAGUUUAAGAACCUCCUUUAACUCAGUUUCAACAUUUUUUCUAUUCAAAUCUAACUGCUCCAUUACACUGGUAAGAGAAAUUUAAAUUGAGAACAUUACCCUGGCAAAAUAAUCGUGAACUAAUAAUCUUAAGACAGAAUUGGAAAGGAGCUUACACCGGUAGAAAUUGAAUAUAGAAUCCAAAAAUAUUGUAGCACAUUUCCACCCUCCUCUUGUGUGAAUCACUGUCAAAGUAAAAGCGGGAGUCAAAGACAGUCAAGUUAGAAGUCAACUGUAAAAACAGCGGAGGAGCAAUCAACUGUGAAGACUUAAGUAUAUAAUGCUGAAGGCCCUUUAAAUCCUUCAAGAAUGAUACUGACGAGGAAAGAGGAAAAGAAGAAAUCAGGCAAUAAUUCAUACGCAGCUAACCUUGAAUAUAUCCCCAACGAGCUACCCAUACUUAAUUGAAGAAGGAAACAAAAGAGAAGCUGAAGACGUCUCCUAAAUUCACCAACAUUUGACGUUUCAAUGAACUCCACCAAACUGCAACAAAAAUAUCUGUUAGAUGACCGAAUACAUGCAAGAAUGGAAAUGUAAGCACCACAUCAUUUGUUUGGUGCACACCUUUGUGAAAUGGACUCGUUUUCAUGUUCUGAAAUUUCCACAGCAUCCUUCUGAAACAGAACUGAAAACAAAGGAAGCCACAACUGCAACAAGAAACAAAAAGUGUUACCCUUAACAUUAUUUUUGUUCAUAAAACAAAAUCUUCUAAUUAUACCAACCUUCCUAGCGUUUAGUUCAUACUGAUCCUGAACCUCAUCAAGCAAAGUAGGCCAGCGCUCAAAUUCCACCUUCUGCCAAGAGCUUGCUAGGGAAAUAAUUGGCUCCAAAAGAUCUGUAGGAUAAAAAAAAAGAAGGAAAACACAAUGUGACACCUGAAAAUAUCAUAAAUAAUGGCAGGAACGAAUGUUUAGACUGAGAAGAGUCCAUAAUCAACCCAUUGUAAGGAGAUUAAAAAUCAAUACCAGAGAUGGGCAAUUUACAUCCCUCUUCCUGUAACUUGUGAACCUUGCAGAGCAGAAAUUGCAAUCCUGAGAGAGCCUUCACAAAAAAUGGCAAAUAAGAAAGUAAUGGUUUAGUACAUAAUGCUUAUGAUGAACUAACAAGAUCAAACAAUGACGGCAGGCAAUGCAAAGAAAUUAAUUCUGUGGGUACAAGUUACCACUGCAUUAAUACUUUCCAUAACAUUGUUACCAAAGAGUUACUUUGUUAGUCAUUGAUAGAUCUUUUGUUGAGUAUAUAAAUACCUUUGCGAGAGGAGUACUGGAGGGAAUAGCCAAGAGCAUCUGAAGUACACCAGAAAGUUUCUGAAGACCAGGAUGGUCCUCCCGUUCUUGCAAUAGAGAAUUAAUUCUUUGUUGAAGAGGAGUGAGAAACUUGACCAUUUUCCCCAGCUCAGGACCAUCCAAAUCCUAUAUAAGAAACUGUCAGAACACAGGCGGACAGACCUAAAACUAAAAGCAGAUAAACUUCUUAAGGACGUAAAAGCUUUCGCAGACCUUGUAAAAGUUAUAUUUACUGGCUGACUGAUAGUUUGAAGUGAAGUUUUUUUUGUUUUCCAGGCAAAGACGAAGUAGGUGUUCUGGAACAAGUUUUGCAUCCAAGCUCGAUGUAAAUAAACCCCUUAGCCCUGGAAUCAAGAGAUAACCCUGUAAUAGCAUUAAUAAAAUGAAUUUAACUACGUUAAACAAUAGAGAGAAAUAGUGUCUAAUCACCUUUGAUCAUACUGACUCCAAGUUCAUAGGAAUCAGUGAACGAAUCCAGUCUUCUACUGUCAGUAAUACAGAAUCUUCCAGACUGAAUAGAAUAAAUUGUCUUGUUAGAUACAAGAGAAUUGAGAGUGAGCCUGAUGCAACAAUUGCAGAUUUGAGUUCCAAUACCUUUUCAGAGAGGUCACAGAAACCAAAUAACUCAUUAUGUGUGCUAUAUAUACUAUCCAGAUGCUCCUGUAUCAAGUCCCAAUCAUCCUCCAAAUUUUCCUCAUCCUGGUCAAUAUGUGUCUGUGGAGAGGAAACAGAAAUCAUAAGUAAUAAAGAUGAGAAUUCACAAGUUCCAGUAGACCAUAAGACUGAAGGGUUUACCAUAUCUUUCACAUUCUUCGUAUCAUCAUCAGCCAGAUACUCUUGCCACUCAGAGAAACUUUCGUUUGGGAAAUACUUGCCAAGGGCAGAUAUAUCUACUUCCAUGACACUAUCAAUUUUGAAGUCCCGGGAACGAAAUUUGUACAGCCCAGGAAGAUUGUCAGCCUUUGUUUUGGCUUGAAACUUCAUCUCCAUCCAAAUUCUCGCCAAUUCAACAUAUAUCUUGUCCAAUAACUGCGGAUAGAACUCUUGCGACAUUAGAUAACAUAUUAACAUAUUCAUAUGCAUACAACUAAGUAAAUAUUUUACCUCAAAAGAAGCUUCAUCCAGUAGCCCAGUAUUUGCGACAAAUUGUAAAACACGAGCAUGGAGAUUUUUAUAAAGAGCAACUUUGAGUUGCAACUCUGAGGCCUACAAGAAAUAAGCAAAACAUAAAGAAUACAUGAAUAGAUUUCAAAAUUCUGACAAUCUUUUUUUAUUAUUUGAACGGAUAUCAUCUCUAAAGACUGGAAUUUCAUGAAAUCAUAUUAAACAUUACUUUUCUCGAAUCUUCUGCACUUGAAACAGAGAUAAGUUUGUGCAACAAGCCAACAUCCAAACCUAAGGACUUAGCACGAGAAUUUGCACCAUGGGAAAGGUGCAAAGGUGGCAAACAUUCGGUGUAGGUAGUUGAAGCUAUCGACGAGUCCCUUGGAAAUCUCAUUAAGGCAUAAAUUGUUUCCUGCCAGACACAUGGAGUCAUUAAGUUUGACUACACGAAAUGACAUGUUUAAAUAUUUCCGAAAGACAAGAGGUUAAGUACCAUGACUGAGUCAACCAUGUCUAUGUCAAAUCUGUUGAGAAGUUUUCCCAAGAGAGCACCAGAUACAAAGAGU